GCUGUCAGUCCCCGGGUGGGUCUGCAGCGAUCAGCCUAGACCACAAGAUGGAGGACAGCACGGUGCCAUGAAAUGCAGCCAACAGGGUUAGUCCUGAGAGGGGCUGAGCACUUGCAGCUCUCACUGGUUUCAGAGGGAGAUGCAGGAGCUCAGCACUGCUCAGAAUUGGCCCAUUGUGAUGGAAGUGGAACAUUCCACCGUAGGGAUGGUAACCUAGACAAACAGAGGUGGGGACAGGCAGGGGGAACUAGGGAUGUAAGUUUUCAGGGGUGAGGGCUGCAUAAAUCCCACUCCAUCCAAACCACAGGGAAAGGAGCGGUUCAUGACCCAUCAAUUCUACCAAGAGGAGGAGAGUUACAGAUGCUCAGGAUUUGAGUACAAAGGAAUAGGAAUGGAGCUGAACAGAUCCAACACCUGAAAGGACGAUUGGAUCUUGUAAGGGACGAAACCAUGAAAAAGACCCUUCAUUCAGUAAAGCAGCAGAAUUGGCUCUGAGGAGAGGUGAAAGAAAGGCAGUGCUUACCAGUCAAGGGAGAAAGAUUCCAAGACAUGGCUGAAUUUAAGAAUGCAGUCAGGUAGGAAACGAUAAGUGCAGAUGCAAGAAAAGCAUCUUAUGACUCCAGUUUGGGAAAAAGCCACUUCUACAUCAUUUAUUAAACAAUGUAGCUGGUUGCACCUCUGAAAAUCACAGCCAUGCAAUGGAAAAUCACUGACAAGGAGGUGAGCAGAGAAGAGCAUGUGGAAGGCAAAUGAAGCACAUUUUGACUGAUAGCUCUGCAUAGCUAGUAAAACAAAUAAAAAUUAUCUGAAACAUUGAUGUUUGCAGGUGAUCAU